UGAAAGAGAUUAAAGAUUUAUCGGUGAUGGAUGGGGAUGCGUCUGAUUAGCUUGUUGGCGGGGUAACGGCCCACCAAGGCGACGAUCAGUAGGGGUUCUGAGAGGAAGGUCCCCCACAUUGGAACUGAGACACGGUCCAAACUCCUACGGGAGGCAGCAGUGAGGAAUAUUGGUCAAUGGACGAGAGUCUGAACCAGCCAAGUAGCGUGCAGGAUGACGGCCCUAUGGGUUGUAAACUGCUUUUAUAAGGGAAUAAAGUGAGUCUCGUGAGACUUUUUGCAUGUACCUUAUGAAUAAGGACCGGCUAAUUCCGUGCCAGCAGCCGCGGUAAUACGGAAGGUCCGGGCGUUAUCCGGAUUUAUUGGGUUUAAAGGGAGCGUAGGCCGGAGAUUAAGCGUGUUGUGAAAUGUAGACGCUCAACGUCUGCACUGCAGCGCGAACUGGUUUCCUUGAGUACGCACAAAGUGGGCGGAAUUCGUGGUGUAGCGGUGAAAUGCUUAGAUAUCACGAAGAACUCCGAUUGCGAAGGCAGCUCACUGGAGCGCAACUGACGCUGAAGCUCGAAAGUGCGGGUAUCGAACAGGAUUAGAUACCCUGGUAGUCCGCACGGUAAACGAUGGAUGCCCGCUGUUGGUCUGAAUAGGUCAGCGGCCAAGCGAAAGCAUUAAGCAUCCCACCUGGGG
rnacentral:rRNA from 1 species